rnacentral:rRNA from 1 species
GCCCUAGUAACGGCGAGUGAAGCGGCAACAGCUCAAAUUUGAAAUCUGGCUUCGGCCCGAGUUGUAAUUUGCAGAGGAAGCUUUAGGCGCGGCACCUUCUGAGUCCCCUGGAACGGGGCGCCAUAGAGGGUGAGAGCCCCGUAUAGUUGGAUGCCUAGCCUGUGUAAAGCUCCUUCGACGAGUCGAGUAGUUUGGGAAUGCUGCUCAAAAUGGGAGGUAAAUUUCUUCUAAAGCUAAAUACCGGCCAGAGACCGAUAGCGCACAAGUAGAGUGAUCGAAAGAUGAAAAGCACUUUGAAAAGAGGGUUAAAUAGCACGUGAAAUUGUUGAAAGGGAAGCGCUUGUGACCAGACUUGCGCCGGGCAGAUCAUCCGGUGUUCUCACCGGUGCACUCUGCCCGGCUCAGGCCAGCAUCGGUUCUCGCGGGGGGAUAAAGGCCCUGGGAACGUAGCUCCUCCGGGAGUGUUAUAGCCCGGGGCGUAAUGCCCUCGCGGGGACCGAGGUUCGCGCAUCUGCAAGGAUGCUGGCGUAAUGGUCAUCAGCGACCCGUCUUGAAACACGGACCAAGGAGUCAAGGUUUUGCGCGAGUGUUUGGGUGUAAAACCCGCACGCGUAAUGAAAGUGAACGUAGGUGAGAGCUUCGGCGCAUCAUCGACCGAUCCUGAUGUUUUCGGAUGGAUUUGAGUAGGAGCGUUAAGCCUUGGACCCGAAAGAUGGUGAACUAUGCUUGGAUAGGGUGAAGCCAGAGGAAACUCUGGUGGAGGCUCGCAGCGGUUCUGACGUGCAAAUCGAUCGUCAAAUCUGAGCAUGGGGGCGAAAGACUAAUCGA